AGCAGUGUAGCAUAGUGGUAAGGAGCAGGGCUUGUAACUGUAAGGUUGCAGGUUCGAUUCCCCGCUGGGG
rnacentral:tRNA from 1 species